GUAGGUGAACCUGCGGAAGGAUCAUUACCGAGUACCGGUGCCCCCGAGGCGCCUGCUCCCAUCCCAUGUGAACCGAGAAUUGUUGCUUUGGCGGGCCGGUAGCCCCGGCCGCCCUCCGGCUUCGGCGGGAGCGCGCCCGCCAGAGGACCCUCAAACCCGCUCAACGGUGGCAUCUGAGUACCAAACAAAAAAUCAAAACUUUCAA
rnacentral:misc_RNA from 1 species